UACGGGGGGGGGUAAGCGUUGUUCGGAAUUACUGGGCGUAAAGGGCUCGUAGGCGGCCAACUAAGUCAGACGUGAAAUCCCUCAGCUUAACUGGGGAACUGCGUCUGAUACUGGAUGGCUUGGAUUCGGGAGAGGAAUGCGGAAUUCCAGGUGUAGCGGUGAAAUGCGUAGAUAUCUGGAGGAACACCGGUGGCGAAGGCGGCAUUCUGGACCGAUAUUGACGCUGAGGAGCGAAAGCCAGGGGAGGCAAACGGG
rnacentral:rRNA from 1 species